AUGAAUGGUGGGAAAAAAAAAACACAACCUCUCAUGAAACUCAAUACCUCCAAGUGGAAAAGGAAAAGAUAAAUAACAUUUAUAUGUGAUGUAAUUUAUAUUCCUUUAUUAGAAUGUUGUUAACUCUUGUUUUUUUUGUUGGGUUUCGUAUUUUCUAAGAAAUAAAAGUGUUGCCAUCAAACAUUUAUAUAUAUAUGUUGUUACUUUUAUAUUUGGGAAGCUUGAAACUGAGUCAUGAACCAAUUUCAAGCUAUACCUAUGGUUGCCUAUAGGUGCUCUUUACAUGGCUAAAAUCUCCCUCAUGAUACCACAAAUUGUCAAAAAGGUGACAAUUUGUUUUUAAUGGUUUUCUAAGUUGUAACGGUAACUCUUGUUAUAAAUGAAUACACUUCAUUUUCAUUAUUAAUAAUUUUUAUUUAUUGUUUUUUAUGGUAGAUAGAAGGUUGAAAACUGAAUUGAAUUGAAUUAUUUUGGUCCAUUAAUUAAAUCAAAGAUAAAAGGAAAUGGGGUUUGUAUAAAUGAGUCCAUUUGCACUCUUUUUCAAUUCAUCAAAAAGCAAUUUCAUAUUUUUGUGAGAUAUGAAAGUUGCAGAAAUGGGAGUUCCUUGCAGCCCAAAGCAGAGAACUUCUUGCAAUGUUGUUUUGGACUGAAGGGAGCUCCUAGUUCUUCGCUUUCAUCAUAUUUAUGUUUCAUCUCUUUCAAUUCAAAGGUGAUGAUUAGGUUCACCUUUAGAUUUGUAUAUUAUUUUUUAUUUAAUUUUUUUUUGGGUGCGUUUUUGCUUUCCUUAUUUUGCUAGAUGUAUAUUUACUUAGGCUAUUGCUAACCUUAUGGUCACAUAAUUUAAACCAUCUACAUCUACAAGUGAAAAUUCACACACAAUGUACCAUGUUAAAGCUAUUUUGUGUACAAUACCAUUACUGAACUAGUUAUUGUUGUAUAAGAAUAUUAUAAUACUAAUGGUGUUUCAAACUCAA